GACGAACGCUGGCGGCGUGCCUAAUACAUGCAAGUAGAACGCUGAAGGAGGAGCUUGCUUCUCUGGAUGAGUUGCGAACGGGUGAGUAACGCGUAGGUAACCUGCCUGGUAGCGGGGGAUAACUAUUGGAAACGAUAGCUAAUACCGCAUAAGAGUAGAUGUCGCAUGACAUUUGCUUAAAAGGUGCAAUUGCAUCACUACCAGAUGGACCUGCGUUGUAUUAGCUAGUUGGUGAGGUAACGGCUCACCGAGGCAACGAUACAUAGCCGACCUGAGAGGGUGAUCGGCCACACUGGGACUGAGACACGGCCCAGACUCCUACGGGAGGCAGCAGUAGGGAAUCUUCGGCAAUGGACGGAAGUCUGACCGAGCAACGCCGCGUGAGUGAAGAAGGUUUUCGGAUCGUAAAGCUCUGUUGUAAGAGAAGAACGAGUGUGAGAGUGGAAAGUUCACACUGUGACGGUAUCUUACCAGAAAGGGACGGCUAACUACGUG
rnacentral:rRNA from 1 species